AGCGUUUCUUGUCGUUUACCGAUAGUUGUUUGGUGAAGAACCACCUGCACCGGCCCAACACCGACACCCUGCUGAGACACGCUUUCAUCCGGGAUCUGGCCAACGAGAGACAAGUGCGCAUCAUGCUCAAAGAUCACCUGGAUAGAACCAGAAAGAAAAAAGAGAAAGAGGGUCCAGAGUACGAGUACAGCGGCAGUGACGAAGACGAUGAAGAGGUGACAGAGGAGGAAGGAGAACCCAGCUCCAUAGUGAACGUUCCCGGCGAGUGGACGUUGAGACGGGAGUUCCUCCGCUUACAGACGGAGGAUCGUGACGGGGCAGAGAGGGAG